GUUGGAGGACUCGACCCCUUCAGUGCCGACGCUAACGCAUUAAGUAUCCCGCCUGGGGAGUACGAUCGCAAGAUUAAAACUCAAAGGAAUAGACGGGGACCCACACAAGCGGUGGAGCAUCUGGCUUAAUUCGAUAAUGAGCGAGGAACCUUACCUAGGCUUGACAUCCCGAGAAUUCUCUAGAAAUAGAGAAGUGCCUUACGGAACUCGGUGACAGGUGCUGCAUGGUUGUCGUCAGCUCGUGCCUUGAGGUGUUCGGUUAAGUCCGUAAACGAGCGCAACCCAUGUCCUGUGUUGCAAAUUUCACAGGAGACUGCCGAUUCAAAGUCGGAGGAAGGUAUGGAUGACGUCAAAUCAGCAUGGCCCUUAUGCCUAGGGCUGCACAGGUGCUACAAUGGCCGGUACAAUGGGCAGCAAUGUCGCAAGGCGGAGCCAAUCCCAAAAACCGGUCCAAGUUCGGAUUGAGGGCUGCAAUUUGCCCUCAUGAAGUUGGAAUCGCUAGUAAACGCGGAUCAGCAAUGGCGCGUUGAAUAUGUUCCUGGGUCUUGUACUCACCGCCCGUCAUACUACGGAAGGUGGAGACGCCCGAAGUGCCCUUAGCUUUUAGCGGGGUCCUAAGGUGAAGCCACUGACUGGAGUAAAGUCGUAACAAGGUAGCCG
rnacentral:rRNA from 1 species